GUGAUGUAUACUUACAGGCAGUGCCUCCCCCAGGUUAUACAGCAGGGUGAUGUAUACUUACAGGCAGUGCCUCCCCCAGGUUAUACAGCAGGGUGAUGUAUACUUACAGGCAGUGCCUCCCCCAGGUUAUACAGCAGGGUGAUGUAUACUUACAGGCAGUGCCUCCCCCAGGUUAUACAGCAGGGUGAUGUAUACUUACAGGCAGUGCCUCCCCCAGGUUAUACAGCAGGGUGAUGUAUACUUACA